UUCGAUAAACCACGCCGGAAACGGACUCCCCAACCUCGAAAACCUCGGGAACGACCUCCCUUGUCCUAAAAAUCCCUGCCGACAGCCUCGGGAAGCGUCAUCGGAGCAGCAUCUUUUUGGCCCCAAUCUGGUGCCUUCUGGUCACUUUCCAGCCGAAAUUCUUGUACUUUUGGACUCCCCACAACUCGAUCUUCACGUAGGCGCUUCCAGAUUCGAAUUCCGACACUGUUGGCAGGACCGACUUCCGGACCUCAGGUGUUCUCCGGAUGCGCGAAAUAUUAUAAUUUCGACUCGAUAAUCAAUCCUUCCCGCCAGCUCCACUCGGGGCAUAGGAGCGGACUGCGGAGCUCGUCAGAAGUUGACAGUUAGAGUUCUUCGCCGUCCUGCAUUAUGACAGUUCGACUUCUUCUUCAUCGGGCUUAUUGUAAAUAAUCAGUUUUAUUUUUAGUUAUUUUAUACUCUAGACCUUCCGCAGUAGAGUACUUUUAAUUUGUUGUGAUUAUUCUGGUCCAUGAUGGACGUGGGAUGUUAUAAAUACCAGUAAGAAUUAUUUAUGGCAUGUCAACCAUGAUUAAUGAUAUUUUAUUAGCAUUUUAUUUGAA